rnacentral:rRNA from 1 species
GGACGAACGCUGGCGGCGCGCUUUAUACAUGCAAGUCGAACGUGAAGCUCGGAGCUUGCUCCGGGUGGAAAGUGGCGAACGGGUGAGUAUCACGUGAGAAACCUGGACCCCGAAGACCGGGAUAACACCGGGAAACCGGUGCUAAUACCGGAUGCCCUCACCGGAUCGCAUGGUCUGGUGAGGAAAUGGAUUCCGCUUCGGGGAUGGUCUCGCGGCCUAUCAGCUUGUGGUGGGGUAAUGGCCCACCAAGGCUUCGACGGGUAGCUGGUCUGAGAGGAUGUCCAGCCACACUGGGACUGAGACACGGCCCAGACUCCUAC